AUAAGAAGGUUUAUCUCCAAUUGCCUUCCGAUGUUAGUUAACGAUGUCAAUUGAGUGAUCAAUAGGGGUGGGUACUUUCUUGCUCUUUCGGCAUAAUCGAAAAUCUAUUACUAUUUCGACUUUAGUUAUUACGAUCAUAUCGGCUACGCCGAGUUUACUCAUUCUUAUCGAGGGUUAACGAGUCCUCGUGACCCACAUCCGGGAGGACCCCUUCUGACCCCUCUGAAGUAAUUACUACCGAGUUACUCGUUGAUAUCAAUCGCUCGAAAUUCGAAAAUGAGUCCUCAUUAAAUUAUAAAUUGUAAUGGCGAGGGUGGUGGGAUGAUUCUCCCUCGCGAAAGGUGCUACAAUUUCUCCCUCGAUUUCUUGGGUGCGAUUCUUUUCACGAAACGGCCGAAUACAGUCAUUGAGGAUCGUUCUUGGAUAAAUAGUCCUUCCCUUCCGGUACCGUUUGACGGUAAUCAAACACGCUGUCAAUUAUCACCAAACGUAUGCGUAAUUGGUGGCUCCUGGUGUUGACACGGAGUCGUUAUGUUGCCUCGAGAGCCGUAAUUGAAUAUCUGCCAAACGGAUGUAUCACCGUUUGUACGACUCGUAAGAUACUCCUUGUCUGCCGGAUUGUUUGUAAAUGUACGCCCGUGUGUCAAUGUACGUGUACAUGAGGCGAUAUAUAAGGGAGGGACACCCACGAGGGCGCACUUUACCUUUCUCACCUGUCCGAGUGAAAUGGGUCUCCUCUUACCUCGAAUUUCUCAGACUUCUCGUACACGUCGAUAAAGACGCGGUUUUACGGAAAAAGAAAAAAAAAAUAGAAAUAUAAUUUAGCUUCCCCGAAAAUGUGAAAUUACUAACAAUUUCGCUUUCCAUCUCGCAAUUGGCCUAAUGUGUGCGUCGGUUUAAGUGCUCCUUAUCAGACGCUGCUUAUCACUGGCGCAGUGUCAAUGGCCAUGCAUCUUGCACAACCUCGAAUCUAAAUGAAACUUCACACUCGGAGAAGGUUUUAAUUGAUAAAAAGGUGUACUUGAUAUCGAGGCUGACGAGAGAUGGUCACCGUUUCGUUUUUUCACUGGGCAAUUUGGAGCGCCAUGUUGUGUUCCGUUUUUUAUUUUGUCACUGGCGGAAAACAGGAAAUGGCAGUCGAAGCCUGGUCGGAUUCCUGGAUAUCCGAGGAAAACUUCACGACUAUGGUCAAGCACUCCUUCAGGUUCUCCAGGUGCUGCAAUGUCUACUUAAACGGUUCGACCUCGGGUAUUAACGCGCUAUUCAGGAGGUUUAUCAAUAUUUAUCCAUAUGAGUAUCUCGUUGAAAGACACACUUACGACUGCCAAGGCUAUUUCCUCCUGGCUUCCACCGAGGAACAGCUCGUGGACGCUUUGACAUACGUCCCUUCAAAGAUCUCCACCACCGAAUUGCUCAUCAUCGUGGACUCGACCCUCGAGGAAGACUCGAUGCUCUUCGACGUUGAUCUGUACAACAAUGCAGAUGCAAACCUCGCUUCACCAAGUGGCAUAUGGAGCCUCUCGGCGAAUUAUUUAAGGCCGAGAAUGUUUAAAAAAAUGAAGCGGUACAAGGAGCUGAUUUACGACAAGAGAAUUGUCAACUUUAACGGAAGGCUCCUGCAAGCUUCCAGCUUUUACAACCCACCGUUUACUUACAUGAGUAAAACGGUGAACAAGACCUACAACGGUGCCGAGGUAUCGUUCUUCCUCGCGGACGACGAUACGGAGAGGGACGGGAUCGAGAUGCAAAUAUUCAUGCUCAUGGCGGAAAAACUGAACUUCACGUGGAUGAUUAGAAGACCCCUAGGUCGACACAGGUACGGCAGGGAGGUUAACGAUACCUUCUUCACGGAUGGCAUGAUCGGCAUGAUCAUCGAGAAGGAGGUCGACAUCGCGUUUAGCAGUAUUUGGCUAAAAACGGACCACUACAAGUUCGCCAAUCUUUCGGAAGCUUGGUAUCAAUUGUACAUAGGGUUCCUGGUCCCACGUCCGAAGCUACGCACGAGCUUUUGGGCACUAACUAGACCAUUUACUGUCGAAGUGUGGCUGGGAAUCGUUGCUAUGUUAAUACUGAAAAGUAGCUAUUUAUACACUCGGGCUUGGAUUAACCCAAAAAUGCCGAGACGCUACCGGAAUUGUGUCGUCACGAUGACCGAAUUAAUGGGACGAUUGGUGGGGACCUGGACACCAACGGAUACAGAGAGUGUCCGGAUGCAACUGCACCUGUGGCAGAUUGCAGGCCUCCUGGUUGUCACCGCCUAUUGCAGCAGUCUUGCUGCAAGCUUAGCCAGCUCCGAGUACGAGGAAAGGAUCGAUAACGUUCGCCAGUUCCUGAAGGCGAAUCUCACCUGGAGCAUGUCUGGCGCGACUCCACGUUUCGGCGAUUAUUUCGACUUCAAGGACCCCUUUGAGUCUCAGAUGCCCUCGAAGUUCGUUUAUCACAAUUCUGACGAGGAGCGACAAGCGGCCGUGAAAAGGGGUAACCAGGCCAUCUUUGGAAAACUCGUCGGCAAGCUUUUCUUCCCCGAUGUGAACAUCACCAACGAGGAACUCAAGAAUUACAGAUUGAUGAGGCAGAAGGUCGGGACGUACUACGCGUGCUUCGCCGUCCAACCAUGGUUGUUGGAACCCAUCAGCACGUUGAUGCUGUGGCUGCGGGAAGGCGGCAUCACCAUUUUCCACCAAAAGGACGUCAUACGUCGUCGGGUCAAGCUGAGUCUCAGAGAGGUCCUGAAGGAACAGGACAAAAGCGAUGGAGUUGCGAGGGUCCUGGCCCUGACACCUCUCGGAGCAGGAUUUUCUUUUCUGAUCUUCGGCCUCUUCGUGUCCACGGUGGUCUUCUACCUCGAACUACGAUCCGGAAGAAAGUCUCGUUCUAAUCCAAGGAUGUCGAAAGAAAAACUCGGGGUCCAGGACCCCCCGAACAGGGCGUCUACCGUUCCGGCUAAACUUUAUGCAGAAGAGAUCUUCCUGGGCAGGAAACUUUACCCCGCCACGACCUGAUCGUCUCUAGCAAUAACAUAAAUCGUAAAAAAGAGACUCAUUCACCAGACGGGCGCGGCAGCUCCUUUUUGCGCGUUUUCUCUCAUGAAUUUUCAGUGCACCUCGUUAAGAGAGGAAAUCGAAGGUGCAACGUAGUUUCGAGGAUGUCAAUAGAGACGCGAGUCGGCGUAGCAAUUACAGAAUAGAAUCGUUUUCCCGAGGGAACCCAUCUAUGCGUCGCUACUUAUACAUUGGGAUGAAUUAUUCAACUCUUCGCACAUUUUUAUUGUCCUUGCGUCACCGGGAUGGUUUAAUGCUCGUCACAUGAGUUGCUGUAAAUUGGUAUCGCGUUUGCUCGGAAACUUCGUUUGACUUGAUACGAUCUUAUGUGAUAAGCUUGCACAUGAUUCAUUGGAGGCUCUAAAGCCUCAAAAACCCGCCUUAGCACCCAUCGUGAAAUCUCAAGAAAAUUCUCCCUCAGAUUUUCCUAUUCUAGCGAGGUCUCGCACUGUAUCGACGCGCUAUUUCGAUGCCAGCUAUCAAAGGCGGGAAAUUUAAUUAUGGCGUCGCAAUGACCCGAUUUGUGCGAUGUAAAGACUUGCGAUUUCAAUCAUCAACCUUUAAAAAAAGGUUUUAGUACCCAUCGGGAAAUCUCGACAAGUGAAAUUUUCCUGUUCUGGCGAGGUGUUACACCGUGUCGACGCCGGCGACCCAGGACGGGAAAUUUUAUUAGGGCGUCCUGACAACCCGAUUUGUGCGAUGUAAAGACAAUCAUUUUCAACCUAUCAAUCAUUUCAAUCAUUAUCAACCUUUAAAAAAAGGUUUCAUCGGGAAAUCUCGACAAGUGAAAUUUUCCUGUUCUGGCGAGGUGUUACACCGUGUCGACGCCGGCGACCCAGGUCGGGAAAUUUGAUU
rnacentral:misc_RNA from 1 species